rnacentral:hammerhead_ribozyme from 1 species
AUCCAGCUGACGAGUUCCAAACAGGACGAAACGCGCGUCCUGGGU